rnacentral:rRNA from 1 species
CACGCGUAAACGUUGUGCGCUAGGUGUAGGAGGUAUCGACCCCUUUCUGUGCCGCAGCUAACGCAUUAAGCGCACCGCCUGGGGAGUACGGUCGCAAGACUGAAACUCAAAGGAAUUGACGGGGGCCCGCACAAGCGGUGGAGCAUGUGGCUUAAUUCGAGGCAACGCGAAGAACCUUACCCAGGCUUGACAUCCCUUGACAGCCCAUGAAAGUGGGUUUUCUCUUCGGAGACAAGGAGACAGGUGUUGCAUGGCUGUCGUCAGCUCGUGUCGUGAGAUGUUGGGUUAAGUCCCGCAACGAGCGCAGCCCUUGUCCUCAGUUACCAGCGGGUUAUGCCGGGCACUCUGAGGAGACUGCCGAUGAUAAGUCGGAGGAAGGUGGGGACGACGUCAAGUCAUCACGGCCCUUACGCCUGGGGCUACACACGUGCUACAAUGGUCGGUACAGAGGGACGCAAGAUCGCGAGAUGGAGCCAAUCCCAAAAAGCCGGCCUCAGUUCGGAUUGCAGUCUGCAACUCGACUGCAUGAAGUCGGAAUCGCUAGUAAUCGUGGAUCAGCUACGCCACGGUGAAUACGUUCCCGGGCCUUGUACACACCGCCCGUCACACGACCCGAGUUGGGUGCACCCGAAGUCACUGGCUCAACCCG